GAUGAACGCUGGCGGCGUGCCUAAUACAUGCAAGUCGAGCGAACAGACGAGGAGCUUGCUCCUCUGACGUUAGCGGCGGACGGGUGAGUAACACGUGGAUAACCUACCUAUAAGACUGGGAUAACUUCGGGAAACCGGAGCUAAUACCGGAUAAUAUAUUGAACCGCAUGGUUCAAUAGUGAAAGACGGUGUUGCUGUCACUUAUAGAUGGAUCCGCGCCGCAUUAGCUAGUUGGUAAGGUAACGGCUUACCAAGGCGACGAUGCGUAGCCGACCUGAGAGGGUGGUAGCCCACCCUGGAACUGAGCCACGGUCCAGACUCCUGCGGGACGCAGCAGUAGGGAAUCGUCCGCAAUGGGCGAGAGCCUGACGGAGCAACGCGGCGUGAGUGAUGAAGGUCUUCGGAGCGUAAUACUCUGUUAUUAGGGAAGAACAAAUGUGUAAGUAACUAUGCACGUCUUGACGGUACCUAAUCAGAAAGCCACGGCUAACUACGUG
rnacentral:rRNA from 1 species